CUUUAGUUUGAAACCCCGAAACCAGGUGAGCUACCCCGAGACAGCCUAUACAAAUUAGGGCUAACCCGUCUCUGUGGCAAAAGAGUGGGAAGAGCUCCGGGUAGAAGUGACAGACCUACCGAACCUGGUGAUAGCUGGUUGCCUGAGAAAUGGAUAGAAGUUCAGCCCCGCACACCCCAGACCAAAACCCCACACUUAAGGUAAUUUAAGAGUAAUAUGCGGGAGUUAGUUAAAGGGGGUACAGCCCCUCUAACAAAGGAUACAACCUUACCAGGAGGAUAAAGAUCAUAAUAUUUAAAACAAACUGUUUUAGUGGGCCUAAAAGCAGCCAUCUAAAUAGAAAGCGUUAAAGCUCAAACAGAAUAAAGUUUAUUAUAACGAUAAAAAAUCUUAUUCCCCUAAAAAUAUCAGGCCAUUCCAUGCUUGCAUGGAAGAAAUUAUGCUAAAAUGAGUAACAAGAAGACCUGCUCUUCUCCAAGCACAAGUGUAACCCAGAUCGGACAAACCACUGGGAAAUAACGAACUCAACUCAAGAGAGUACUGUGAACAACAUAAAAACCAAGAAAAACUCACAACAAUAUAAUCGUUAACCCCACACUGGAGUGCUAUUUAUAAAGGAAAGACUAAAAGAAAGGGAAGGAACUCGGCAAACGCAAGCCUCGCCUGUUUACCAAAAACAUCGCCUCCUGCAACUGGAUUAAGUAUAGGAGGUCCAGCCUGCCCAGUGACUACGGGUUCAACGGCCGCGGUAUUUUGACCGUGCAAAGGUAGCGCAAUCACUUGUCUUUUAAAUAGAGACCUGUAUGAAUGGCUAAACGAGGGCUUAACUGUCUCCCCCUUCCAGUCAGUGAAAUUGAUCUAUCCGUGCAGAAGCGGGUAUAAUACUACAAGACGAGAAGACCCUUUGGAGCUUAAGGUACAAAAUUUAACCACGUUAAACAACUCAACAAAAAGCAAGAACUUAGUGGGCUAUAAAAUUUUACCUUCGGUUGGGGCGACCGCGGAGGAAAAACUAGCCUCCGAGUGGACUGGGCUUUAUCCCUAAAACCAAGAGAAACAUCUCUAAGCCGCAGAACAUCUGACCAAUAAUGAUCCGGCCUUAUGGCCGACCAACGGACCAAGUUACCCUAGGGAUAACAGCGCAAUCCUCUCCCAGAGUCCAUAUCGACGAGGGGGUUUACGACCUCGAUGUUGGAUCAGGACAUCCUAAUGGUGCAGCCG
rnacentral:rRNA from 1 species